AGUGAACGCUGGCGGCAGGCCUAACACAUGCAAGUCGAACGGCAGCACAGUAAGAGCUUGCUCUUACGGUUGGCGAGUGGCGGACGGGUGAGACAUACAUCGCAAUCUUCUUUUUCGUGGGGGAUAACGUAGGGACACUUAUGCUAAUACCGCAUACGUCCUACGGGUGGAAGCAGGGGAUCUUCGGGCCUUGCGCGAUUGAAUGAGCCGGUGUCGGAUUAGCUAGUUGGCGGGGUAAAGGCCCACCAAGGCGACGAUCCGUAGCUGGUCUGAGAGGAUGAUCAGCCACACUGGAACUGAGACACGGUCCAGACUCCUACGGGAGGCAGCAGUGGGGAAUAUUGGACAAUGGGCGCAAGCCUGAUCCAGCCAUGCCGCGUGGGUGAAGAAGGCCUUCGGGUUGUAAAGCCCUUUUGUUGGGAAAGAAAAGCAGCAGGUUAAUACCCCGCUGUUCUGACGGUACCCAAAGAAUAAGCACCGGCUAACUUCGUG
rnacentral:rRNA from 1 species